CAGUAGCCGCGGGAAUACGAAGGGUGCAAGCGUUAAUCGGAAUGACUGGGCGUAAAGGGCGCGUAGGCGGUUUUGACAGUCAGAUGUGAAAUUCCUGGGCUUAACCUGUGGGCUGCAUUUGAGACGUCAAGACUAGAGUGUGAGAGAGGGUUGUGGAAUUCCCAGUGUAGAGGUGAAAUUCGUAGAUAUUGGGAAGAACACCGGUGGCGAAGGCGGCAACCUGGCUCAUUACUGACGCUGAGGCGCGAAAGCGUGGGGAGCAAACAGGAUUAGAUACCCCAGUAGUCCCUGUCUCUUAUAC
rnacentral:rRNA from 1 species